GUGACCUCGGAUCGGUAGGUCACGUCC
rnacentral:rRNA from 1 species